rnacentral:rRNA from 1 species
GACGAACGCUGGCGGCGUGCCUAAUACAUGCAAGUCGAACGCAGUGGGGACGGGUGAGUAACACGUGGGUAAUCUCCCAUCAGAGGGGAUAACACUUGGAAACAGGUGCUAAACUGAUAUUGAUGGAUGGACCUGGGGUGCAUUAGCUAGUUGGUUAGGUAACGGCUCAUACAGGCCACGAUCUAUAGCGGAGCUUAGAGGGUGAUCGGCCAAACUGGAACUUAGACACGGCCCAGAUUCCUAUGGGAGGCAGCAGUAGGGAAUUUUCGGCAAUGGUGCAAAGUUUGACGGAGCAACGCCGCGUGAGUGAAGAAGGUUUUCGGAUCGUAAAACUCUGUUAUUAGGGAAGCGGUAUCAAACCAGAAAGCCCCGGCUAACUACGUGCCAGCAGCCGCGGUAAUAC